rnacentral:misc_RNA from 1 species
AAGUCGUAACAAGGUUUCCGUAGGUGAACCUGCGGAAGGAUCAUUUGUGAUCUGCACACGCUAGGCAUGAAAGUGCUUAGUGUGGAAGCGAAUCAUGUGCAGCUGUUUUAGUAUAUAACUUACCUUACACCUGAAUGUAAUACACACUAUGCGACAGUAUUUCACUGGCGCAUGAACAAAGCUUACAACUUUUAACAAUGGAUCUCUUGGCUCUU